AACCAAUCGCUGCUCAGUCUCAGAGGCUGGAGGUCUCAGCAGUGAGGAUCUGCUCUGAAGACCUAGGUGACUCCCGGAGAAACUCUGAUCUUCAGUCCACAUCGGAAGCCUGGAGAUUCAGUGAUAUUUAGUGAAAAGCCAUGAAUUUGCCUGGCAGGUUUAGCAGCUUGGGAAAACUGAAUUUGGAGGGAAACAGGAAGCCCGAGGAAAAGAAACCCUUCAGAUUUUAGAAGUCUGAGCCAUUUCUCAGAAAGGCCAAAAGGGAAAAGGCGGUUAUUAUUCUUUAUGCUAAAUCCAGCUGUCCUCCCCAUGGUGGCCAUGUAAAUCCUGGCACUGAGCGUGUGGCAGAAUAAAACCACGGCUGUGGGAAGCUUUCACUGAAGAGCAACAGGCGGCCCCAAGCCCCAAACUGCUCCAGCCAUUUUCUCCUAAAAAUGUAAGGUUCUAUUCAUCAAAAACUUUUAUAUAUUCUUGUGAUUUUUCCUUUAAAAGAAAAUGAAGAAGACAACGAAGAGAGAUCAACAUGAUAUACAGGCAAAGAAUAGGGCCCCGUGGUUCACAGACCAUGGUGUCUUUUCAUUCUCUGGAGUAAGUAAAUAAUCUCGGAGAGGCUUGGCGUUGACUGUGUUCUGCGCACAAAAAUGGCCAAAGAGGGACCUGCCCUCCAAUUAGACAUCUAAAUGAUUCUGUUUGAAGGAAGCUGUCUCCUCCACAGACCCAUUUAACAAGAUGAAUUACCCAAGGGCCGAGUGUAAGGCACUGAAACUUGGUUUUAAUGUGAUUUCAAAAUAUCAGACUUCUUGCCAUCUCUUCUCAAGCAAAAGAGAAUUCAUCACGUAGACAUGAUGUAAAGUUUAAGACAUUUAAGCCCUCUGAUUUUAUUCUCCCUCGUGUUUCUUCAGACUUUGAAAACAAUUACAGGUCACACACAUCUAAUCCAAGCACUGGAGGCAGGGGAAUCACAAGUUUAAGGCCAGCUACACGCAUAAUGAGCUGCAUCUCAAAACAAUAAGCAAAUAAAUAAAUGACUGAAAAAAGAACAUUCAUUCAGAGUCCAAAA